UGGUGCGUAGCUCAAGCAGGCAGAGCAGCGGUCUCCAAAACCGAAGGUUGGAAGUUCGAUUCUUCCCGCGCCAGCCA
rnacentral:tRNA from 1 species